rnacentral:tRNA from 1 species
GGGGCUGUGGCUCCGCGGUAGAGCACUCACCUAGCACGUGAGAGGCCCUGGGAUCGAUCCUCAGCACCACA